rnacentral:lncRNA from 1 species
GGAUGAUUGAUUUAGUUAUUAAAAGCGAUUAAUUACAGAAUUACGGUUAGAAUCUGAGAAAAAGAAGUAAGUAUAUAGGAAUUGUAGAAGUUAGUCAUGAGCUGGAAUAAGCUUGGUGCUACCUCUUUGUCUCUUUGUUUUGUUUCUUUGUUGUUGAAGAAUAAUAGAUAGUUUCUGAAUACUGAAAAGUGAGUCUGUAGAAUAAAUCAGAGAUUAAU